rnacentral:rRNA from 1 species
UACGUAGGGGGGCUAGCGUUGUCCGGAUUUAUUGGGCGUAAAGAGCGUGUAGGCGGCCAGGUAGGUCAGCUGUGAAAACUCGAGGCUCAACCUCGAGACGCCGGUUGAAACCAUCUGGCUAGAGUCCGGAAGAGGAGAGUGGAAUUCCUGGUGUAGCGGUGAAAUGCGCAGAUAUCAGGAAGAACACCCGUGGCUAAGGCGGCUCUCUAGUACGGUACUGACGCUGAGACGCGAAAGCGUGGGGAGCGAACAGG